AACGAACGCUGGCGGCAUGCCUAACACAUGCAAGUCGAACGAGACCUUCGGGUCUAGUGGCGCACGGGUGCGUAACGCGUGGGAAUCUGCCCUUAGGUUCGGAAUAACUUCGGGAAACUGAAGCUAAUACCGGAUGAUGACGUAAGUCCAAAGAUUUAUCGCCUAAGGAUGAGCCCGCGUUGGAUUAGCUAGUUGGUGAGGUAAAGGCUCACCAAGGCGACGAUCCAUAGCUGGUCUGAGAGGAUGAUCAGCCACACUGGGACUGAGACACGGCCCAGACUCCUACGGGAGGCAGCAGUGGGGGAAUAUUGGGACAAUGGGCGAAAGCCUGAUCCAGCAAUGCCGCGUGAGUGAUGAAGGCCUUAGGGUUGUAAAGCUCUUUUACCCGAGAUGAUAAUGACAGUAUCGGGAGAAUAAGCUCCGGCUAACUCCGUGCCAGCAGCCGCGGU
rnacentral:rRNA from 1 species